UAGGGAAUCUUCGGCAAUUGACGAAAGUCUGACCGAGCAACGCCGCGUGAUUGAAGAAGGUUUUCGGAUCGUAAAACUCUGUUGGUAGAGAAGAACAAGGACGUUAGUAACUGAACGUCCCCUGACGGUAUCUCACCAGAAAGCCACGGCUAACUACGUGCCAGCAGCCGCGGUAAUACGUAGGUGGCAAGCGUUGUCCGGAAUUAUUGGGCGUAAAGCGGGAGGUGGCGGUUUCUUAAGUCUGAUGUGAAAGCCCCCGGCUCAACCGGGGAGGGUCAUUGGAAACUGGGAGACUUGGGGGCAGAAGGGGUGGUGGGAAUUCCGUGUGUAGGGGUGAAAUCCGAAGAUAUGUGGAGGACAACCAGGGGCGAAGGCGGCUCUCUGGUCUGUAACUGACGCUGAGGCUGGAAAGCGUGGGGAGCAAAAAGG
rnacentral:rRNA from 1 species